GUAUCAAAUAAUACAUAGUAACAAUGAUUAUAGGUUUUUGUCUCCUGUGGAUGGAAUCUAAAGAGGAAAAUGUUGCACUUACAAUCAUCCAAAGAGAUAAUACAAAGUCUAUAGAUGAAUCUCUACUAAUGUCCUUGUCUCAUAACAAGCCAAAAAAAUCGGUGACUACUACAAUAGUUCCGAAAGAUUAUAUUUGCACGCAGGGUGAUCUUGCACUCAUCGAUUGGAUUAAAGAAAUCCCUUGUGAACCAAGGGUAGAAGUCGUGCUUAUUGAUGAUGCUUUUGUGGAAAGGAAGUGGAUGGAAUGCCUAUUUCAACCGGACGCAUAUCUAGGUGAUGAGGUAAUUCAUGAUAAUUCAACUAGCUAGGAGCACCACACU